rnacentral:rRNA from 1 species
AUGUGCCGGAACCUGACUUCGAUCUCGUCAAAAUUCUGGUGGGGUGCAACGAAUGGUGAUAAAAAGGAGCACUGGAUAUCAUGGGAGAAGAUGUGUGCAGCAAAACGAGAUGGUGGUCUCAGCUUUCGAGACCCGGAAGCUUUCAAUCAAGCUCUCCUAGCAAAGCAGGCAUGGAGGACCUUGCAAUAUCCGCUCUCACUGUGUGCAUGGGUUCUCAAGGUGAGAUACUUCCCAGAUAACUCCAUCAUGUCGGCCACGUGCUCCUCGAGGGGCUCGUUCACUUUCAGGAGUAUACUCCAUGGGCGUGACCUGCUGCGGGAGGGGUUGAUUUGGAGAGUCGGAGAUGGGUCCAAGAUUAAUGUGCAUCAUGACAAUUGGAUCCCAAGGAGUGGGAGUAUGCAAACCGCUGGGAGCUGUAUAUGUACAGGGAGUGACAUGGCCAUCGUUGAGUUAGAUACCUCAACGCUGAGAGUCAUCGUUCUUGUUGCCGUCGCCAGUAAGGGAAGGCAGGCGCAUCUCAUCGCCGUUGUCGUCGCGCCAUCGCUAUUGCUAUCGACAUGGCCAUCAUUGUAG